rnacentral:pre_miRNA from 10 species
CCCGUCGCUAUCAGUAACAAGGAUUCAUCCUGUUGUCACCAUAGAAAGCAACAGGAAGUCACUGUUACUGGCCGUGAGGGU